UAAGGAAUAUUGGUCAAUGGACGCAAGUCUGAACCAGCCAUGCCGCGUGAAGGAUGAAGGUCCUCUGGAUUGUAAACUUCUUUUAUCUGGGACGAAAACGGGAUUUUUAUCUCAAUUGACGGUACCAGAGGAAUAAGCACCGGCUAACUCCGUGCCAGCAGCCGCGGUAAUACGGAGGGUGCGAGCGUUAUCCGGAUUUACUGGGUUUAAAGGGUGCGUACGUGGGCUUAUAAGUCAGUGGUGAAAUCUCCGAGCUUAACUUGGAAACUGCCGUUGAUACUAUAGGUCUUGAAUUCUCUGGAGGUAAGCGGAAUAUGUCAUGUAGCGGUGAAAUGCUUAGAUAUGACAUAGAACACCAAUUGCGAAGGCAGCUUACUACAUAUAAAUUGACGCUGAGGCACGAAAGCGUGGG
rnacentral:rRNA from 1 species